AGAAUCAACGCUGGCGGCGUGCCUAACACAUGCAAGUCGAACGCGAAAGGGGAGCAAUCCCUGAGUAGAGUGGCAAACGGGUGAGUAACACGUGGGUGACCUGCCUUCGAGUGGGGGAUAACGUCCCGAAAGGGACGCUAAUACCGCAUGACAUCCUGUCCUUAGACGGACGGAGAUCAAAGCUAGGGAUCGCAAGACCUGGCGCUUGAAGAGGGGCCCGCGCCUGAUUAGCUAGUUGGUGAGGUAACGCUCACCAAGGCUUCGAUCAGUA
rnacentral:rRNA from 1 species